ACAACAUCUUCAAAGCUAAUGAGUCAUUUUUCAAGAAUUACUUGAAACAUGAUUUGAAAUCCAUGUUUCUUUUCUUUUCUUUCUUUUUUUGUCCUGUUCGGCUGUUAGGUUAAGCAGAAUGGAAAAUCUGUAUCCCUUUUAUGCCGGAACAGUUUUACUGUGUCACAGUGGCGUUUAAAUCUUCCGCUGUGGUAUUAUAAUUGAGGUUUAUUGAGAAUCAGACUUGAUCAGUCGGACAGAACAAUGUUUCUCGAAGGGAGAGAGAAACAAAGACAAAAGACAAAGCAAGGAGCAGCCGUGGGCCAUGAGAGGUCAGCCCCAACACCAAGCAGUCAUCCAGCCCGGGGGCCCGGCCUAAGGAGCACCGCCAUGCAAGAAGAGGCCCACAAGGGUUUGAUCUACGUCAGCUGAACACGCUCAAGACUGUAGAGAUGAUUGUGGACUUCAGGAGGCAUCCUUCGCCACAGCUGCCCCUCACACUGUCCAGCUGCCUUGUGUCAACCAUUGAGACCUUCAAGUUCCUGGGUAUUACAGUUUCUCAGGACCUGAAGUGGGCGAUCAACAUCAGCUCCAUCCUCAAAAAGGCCCAGCAGAGGAUGUACUUCCUGCGGCUUCUGAGGAAGCACGACCUGCCACAGGUGCUGUUGAGGCAGUUCUACACAGUGGUCAUCGAAUCAGUCCUGUGUUCUUCCAUCACAAUCUGGUUUGGUGCUGCUACAAAAAAGGACAAACUCCGACUGCAACGGACAAUCAAAACUGGUGAAAAUAUAGUCUGUACCCCAACUCACCCUUGAGGACUUGCACACUGCCAGAACUAAGACAAGAGCGUGCAAAAUCCUCUCGGACCCUCCACAUCUUGGUCACCAGCUCUUCCAGCUUCUUCCCUCAGACAUGGCCUGAACUGCAGUUGAACUGAGUCUCAUGGGAUUCUCACUCCGCCAGAUCGUAAGAUGGCUGACCCAGCAGGAAAGAGAAAAGAAGUGAAGACUUGGACGGGUGAAAUGCAGAGGAAUAAAAGGAGAGAUGGGGGACGCAGGGGCAUUACUUCAGAACAUGACAGAAAUCUGGGACCCACUGAUGCAUGCAGGCUGCAUCGGAAUAAAAAAAAAAAAAAAAACCUCUCAACUUGCUCACCUCACUCUUCAUGAAUAUACAGUAUAUCCGAUAUUCCGGUUACCAAUAAAACUAUUGCCACAAUUAUUAGAUUUAAGAUGUCCUAUUUGUCUAGUCAUUGGCAAACUCAAUCUAAAAUCAGAAAGACCUACAGUAAGUUCAACCACCUGUCUCCAGUUCCUCAGCUGCAGACAGAAUAAUAAUACAAAACUUCUCAUUUGUUUUGUCAUUUAUUGAUUGUAGUAGUCUGUACUGUAUUUCAUUUAGAAAAAUGCAACAAUCUUCUCCCUAUCACUU